ensembl:lncRNA
GGCAUUCACUGGUGCGUAGUCUGCUUCUGCACCCAUAAUCAGUAUUGAUUGGGUAUACCCCCAUUACUGAGUACAUAUAGUGAUUAUUGAUUAGGGUUAUUGAUUAGGGUUUACUGCCAUUACAGAGUACAUAUAGUGAUUAUUGAUUAGGGUUUACUGCCAUUACUGAGUUCAUAUAGUGAUUAUUGAUUAGGGUUUACUGCCAUUACUGAGUACAUAUAGUGAGUAUUGAUUAGGGUUAUUGAUUAGGGUUUACUGCCAUUACAGAGUACAUAUAGUGAUUAUUGAUUAGGGUUUACUGCCAUUACUGAGUACAUAUAGUGAUUAUUGAUUAGGGUUUACUGCCAUUACUGAGUACAUAUAGUGAUUAUUGAUUAGGGUUAUUGAUUAGGGUUUACCCCCAUUACUGAGUACAUAUAGUGAGUAUUGAUUAGGGUUUACUGCCAUUACUGAGUUCAUAUAGUGAGUAUUGAUUAGCUAUACCCCCAUUCUUGAGU